rnacentral:misc_RNA from 1 species
CUUUCUUCACACGUUGGCUGUUCAGUUAAAUUCCAGCAUCACGAGAUCCAUGCCUUUAUAUCCCACACUCACGUUAUUCACCGUUGGUUCCAAGAUCAACGCCCACAAAUCCAUGCCUUUAUACAUAUAUGCUUUGCUUUAGCCAGUUUUUAGCAUCCCAAAAAAAGGCAAAAACCAAGAAAAAUUCCUGCGCCUUGGCCUAUUCUAGAUCAACGGUUGAAAUCAGACGGUUGAGAAGAUCAACGGUGUAUACAAAAAAGUUUAAAUUAAGAAAAUACAAAAGCUGAGCUGGGCCCCGACCUCUCUCUCUCCCUCCUUCUGUCUCUGCGCUCUCUGUAUAUAUAUUCUCUUCUUUGUUUGCUGCUUUCGACGUGAUUUUCUCCAUCGUCUUCUAUAAUCGAAGUUAUAUUCUAGCCUCGUAGGCGAAGAUGGGAACCAACUUCAAACCAGUGAUAUUGUCACUGUUUCUUUCCUUGUUGCUGUUUUCCUGUACAUCCUCUGCAUACAAUGAUAGGUUGGUUAGAAUUGGACUGAAAAAGCUGAAAUUGGAUCAAAACAGCCAGAUUGCUGCUCGGCUUGAGUCAAAAAAUGCUGAGGCUUUCAGAGCUUCUUUGAGGAAGUAUGGUCUCCAUGGUAACCUGGCAGACUCUGGGGGUCCUGAUAUUGUAGCACUGAAGAACUACUUGGAUGCUCAGUACUACGGUGAAAUUAGCAUUGGCACUCCUCCUCAGAAAUUCACUGUAAUCUUUGACACCGGUAGCUCCAAUUUGUGGGUGCCAUCAUCCAAGUGCUUUCUCUCUGUUGCUUGUUACUUCCAUUCCAAGUACAAGUCAAGCCAAUCAAGUACCUACAGGAAGAAUGGUCUGUUUUCUUUUGCAACCAGUUACAAUGCCUAAAAUUCAAUUUCUUUCAUUUAUAUUAUCUGAAGGCAUUUUAGCUUGUCGAUUUGAAAUCUAUUUUGUCAGCUCACCUGUGUUAUUUUUUCAUGCUUAUGUUAGAGUAGUUUUAUUUAGUCGUGCUUACAUAGGGGUAAGUAGUUCAAGCUCAACAUCGUGGUUCAUCUAUGAGAACCAUACUCUCAAGUUUUCUCUAUAUUGAUUAUAAAUAUAGGAAGGUUGCAAAAUGAUCCAUCAUAUAAUCCUAAGCCAUUUAGUCAAACCCAUUAGAUAAUAGACUUUCCGUAAUUGGAUGAUGGGUGUGGCAGGACAACUAUCCUAUGGAUGUCUUAAUCAUUUUAGAACUAAAAUUGGUUUGGUAUGAUUAAUUGUGUAGGGAAAUCUGCUGAAAUUCAAUAUGGUAGUGGAGCUAUUUCUGGUUUCUUUAGUUAUGAUAAUGUCAAUGUUGGUGACCUGGUUGUAAAAGAUCAGGUAAUCUUAUGCUUCCACCUCUUAUUGCUUAGACCUUUAAAUUUUGAUUUUUAGACUGUACUCUGCCGUUUAGUUUUUUUCCCAUCAGCUUUCAUUUUUUUUUCUUGGAUGAAUCGUUAAGGAAUUUAUUGAGGCAACUUCAGAGCCUAGUGUCACAUUUUUGAUGGCCAAGUUUGAUGGCAUACUAGGGCUUGGGUUUCAAGAAAUUUCAGUUGGAAAUGCUGUGCCCGUAUGGUACAACAUGGUUAAACAACGCCUUGUCAAGGAACCAAUAUUUUCUUUUUGGCUUAACCGCAAUACAGAGGAAGAGGAAGGAGGUGAAAUUGUAUUUGGUGGUGUUGAUCCAAAUCAUUACAAGGGCAAGCACACAUAUGUUCCUGUGACACAGAAAGGCUAUUGGCAGUUUGACAUGGGUGAUAUUCUUAUCGGUGAUAAACCAACCGGGUAUUGUGCUGGCAAAUGCUCAGCAAUUGCAGACUCUGGAACUUCCUUGUUGGCAGGCCCCGCGACUGUGGUUACCAUGAUAAAUCAAGCUAUUGGAGCCACUGGAGUAGUAAGCCAGGAAUGCAAGGCUGUUGUUGCUCAGUAUGGACAAACCAUAAUGAAUUUGCUUAUAGCUGAGGCUCAACCGAAGAAAAUCUGCUCUCAAAUUGGAUUGUGCACCUUUGAUGGGACCCGUGGUAUUAGCAUGGGCAUUCAGAGUGUGGUGGAUGAGAACAAUGAUAAAUCAUCUAAUAUUGCUCGUGAUUCUAUGUGCUCUGCCUGUGAGAUGACAGUUGUUUGGAUGCAGAACCAGCUAAGGCAGAAUCGAACAGAAGAUUAUAUACUGAACUAUGUCAAUGAGCUCUGUGAUCGAAUUCCGAACCCAAUGGGACAAUCAGCUGUUGACUGUGGAAGUCUCUCUUCAAUGCCUACUGUUUCCUUCACCAUCGGAGGAAAAAUUUUUUAUCUUACCCCAGAGGAGGUUUGUGAUUGGAACUUCUUUGUUAUUGUUGAAUAUAUUUUAUAUUUGAAAAAAAAAUUCUACGAUGAGUGGGAGUGUUAAUAUAUGAACUAAAGAAUAAAGAAAAGAAAUAAGAAAAAGAAAUGACUUCUGUUGCUUCUUGUUUCUUAUAAUCACAUACAAUGAAUUGUUUGUAUGGGCGGUUCACAUGUUGGUGAAACCAACAUAUUGUCUCAAAGAUGAGGUGUUGAUGAUUAUUCGAGUCUAUACGAGGAUAUCUUUCAUUUAGAAUGAUGGUCUGCGGGGCAUUUUAACAGUAUGUAGGUAUCUUUGUUUUGGAUGGGUAGUAGUGGCACAUAUUUCACAUGUCAUAUCUAGCAUGAACUUCAAUUCAUUGCUCUUAUUGCAUUUUUUGUGGGUGGUGAUCAGUACAUCCUCAAGGUGGGCGAGGGUUCAGGGGCUCAGUGCAUCAGUGGCUUUACUGCUUUGGAUGUGCCUCCUCCUCGUGGGCCUCUUUGGAUAUUGGGAGAUAUUUUCAUGGGUCGCUACCAUACUGUCUUCGACUAUGGCAAUCUGCGAGUUGGAUUUGCGGAGGCAGCAUAAAGGAUCUAUUUUGGGGUUUUCCUUAUUGCUACCUGCUACUGAUAUAUGUAAUAUGUAGCUUGAGAAGGGGAAUUAGUGGUGGAUUAUAUAGGUGUUGAUGAGCCCAACUUAAAACCAAUAGUUUGUGCGUUGGGUUGAUCAUAAGUGAUUUUAUUUAAAGAAAAAUAGAAGCGUCAAGCUUGAUGUCAAGGAUAUAUAAAUAUAUAUAUUGCACCUAGUGUUUGUAUUAUAUUGGUUAGAUUUGCUAGGGCUCGGUUUGGGUAGUGUGCUAUAUUUAAGAGGGAUAAUAAUGGAUCACUAUAAA